rnacentral:rRNA from 1 species
CGAGUGGAAACGAUGGAGCUUGCUCCAGGCGUCGAGCGGCGGACGGGUGAGUAAUGCAUAGGAAUCUGCCCGGUAGUGGGGGAUAACCUGGGGAAACCCAGGCUAAUACCGCAUACGUCCUACGGGAGAAAGCAGGGGAUCUUCGGACCUUGCGCUAUCGGAUGAGCCUAUGUCGGAUUAGCUUGUUGGUGAGGUAAUGGCUCACCAAGGCGACGAUCCGUAGCUGGUCUGAGAGGAUGAUCAGCCACAUCGGGACUGAGACACGGCCCGAACUCCUACGGGAGGCAGCAGUGGGGAAUAUUGGACAAUGGGCGAAAGCCUGAUCCAGCCAUGCCGCGUGUGUGAAGAAGGCUUUCGGGUUGUAAAGCACUUUCAGUGAGGAAGAAGGCCUUGGGGCUAAUACCCCCGAGGAAGGACAUCACUCACAGAAGAAGCACCGGCUAACUCCGUGCCAGCAGCCGCGGUAAUACGGAGGGUGCGAGCGUUAAUCGGAAUUACUGGGCGUAAAGCGCGCGUAGGCGGCGUGAUAAGCCGGUUGUGAAAGCCCCGGGCUCAACCUGGGAACGGCAUCCGGAACUGUCAGGCUAGAGUGCAGGAGAGGAAGGUAGAAUUCCCGGUGUAGCGGUGAAAUGCGUAGAGAUCGGGAGGAAUACCAGUGGCGAAGGCGGCCUUCUGGACUGACACUGACGCUGAGGUGCGAAAGCGUGGGUAGCAAACAGGAUUAGAUACCCUGGUAGUCCACGCCGUAAACGAUGUCGACUAGCCGUUGGGGUCCUUGAGACCUUUGUGGCGCAGUUAACGCGAUAAGUCGACCGCCUGGGGAGUACGGCCGCAAGGUUAAAACUCAAAUGAAUUGACGGGGGCCCGCACAAGCGGUGGAGCAUGUGGUUUAAUUCGAUGCAACGCGAAGAACCUUACCUACCCUUGACAUCGUGCGAACUUGGUAGAGAUACCUUGGUGCCUUCGGGAGCGCACAGACAGGUGCUGCAUGGCUGUCGUCAGCUCGUGUU